rfam:Patagioenas fasciata monilis isolate BTP2013 Sc31e1R_129.1, whole genome shotgun sequence.
GCGGGCUGAAAAUCACUCGGGAUCUCCUGUGGCCCCUGGUGAGAUAACUGCGCCAACAGCAUUGGGAACAUUAAGCUUAUUGCCCACGGUGAUGCGUGGGGAGUGAAACCCAUGUUCCGAUAACC